UACGAAGGGGGCUAGCGUUGCUCGGAAUCACUGGGCGUAAAGGGUGCGUAGGCGGGUCUUUAAGUCAGGGGUGAAAUCCUGGAGCUCAACUCCAGAACUGCCUUUGAUACUGAGGAUCUUGAGUUCGGGAGAGGUGAGUGGAACUGCGAGUGUAGAGGUGAAAUUCGUAGAUAUCGGGAGGAACACCGGUGGCGAAGGCGGCGAUCUGGGUCGAUACUGACGCUGAGGUGCGAAAGCGUGGGGAGCAAACAGG
rnacentral:rRNA from 1 species